rnacentral:tRNA from 1 species
GAAGGUAUAGCUCAAGUGGUAGUGUGCAUGCUUAGCAUGCAUGAGGUCCUGGGUUCAAUCUCCAGUACCUCCU